GACAUUCGGUAAUUCUGCACUCGAGGGACUGGAGGAGAUUAAAGGAUUGUACUCAUCUAGCCAAAUUGAGUGCUCACCCUGAAAUGACUGGGCACAUUCAACAGCAAAUUAGUGCACCUGAUAUUGACUCUGAGCAUCGAUUGGCUCCGGUUGACCACGGCGGCGUUAAGAGUUUGUUUCCUGAGUCGCGGCUCGGCCUAAUCUGUGGCUUAAUCACAGCAUCUCGUGGCAACAAGGAAAGGCAGGGUCAUGACUUGUUAAGCCUGUCAAGAAGGGUGAAAAAUCGAAGUGACUUGCACAGCGACAUAUUAGAUCUCAGACGUAUUUAAGAAGCAGAAGGAGCGACGGAUUUCCUGCCCAUGUCUGUGCCAGACGGAUGCACGGGGACGUGCCGGAUGUCUCAAAUGCACAGGCAGGAGAUGGCUCAAGACAUGGUCACUAGGAGCCCGGGAAAACGGUUGGGAGUAAUGCAGCUCACUCGAGCCCCAGAGACUUUAAGCUCAUGCACAAGAUCCCCUCUGUGUCUUCAGCGACUCCGUGACCUACUGGAACUCACGUUUUUGUCUGUUACAAUUCACUCUACAGUGCCUUUGUUCGCCUUUUUUGGCAAAAAGAAAAACAUUGUAACAUUUUUUUCUUCGCCCCCCCCUCCCUGGCACUUUCUUGCUUUCUUUUU